rnacentral:rRNA from 1 species
UACGUAGGGGGCGAGCGUUGUCCGGAAUCAUUGGGCGUAAAGAGCGUGUAGGCGGCUUGGCAAGUCUGACGUGAAAGCCCGCGGCUCAACCGCGGAUUGUCGUUGGAAACUGCCUCGCUAGAGUCCGGAAGAGGAGAGCGGAAUUCCUGGUGUAGCGGUGGAAUGCGGCAGAUAUCAGGAAGAACACCCGUGGCGAAGGCGGCUCUCUGGGACGGUACUGACGCUGAGACGCGAAAGCGUGGGAGCGAACAGG